GGACUUCACCUUGUCCAUCCAACAAAUAUGUUUACUGUUAACUGCUCUCACAGCAGCAAAACAAUUGCUUGUCAACCGUUGGAAUCCUCCUCACACAAUGGACUGACGAACAUGGACGGUGUAUUUGUUGGACAUUAUCUCGAUGGAACUCGCAUAUGUCAUUGAUUCAGGACAAACUGAAGGUUUAAGGUCUGCAGCUCACUGUGUGUCACUCUCAUAUAAAUGAGGUAUAAAUAACUUUGUGUGUUUAUAUUGUAACCAGAACCGUUUCUGAUCAAAAGGGUUCCUCAGCAAAGUCUUACUUCCAUCAUCACUGAACAGAAUUCAGGAGACAAGAUCAUCAGUGAUGCCUUCAUAGAUACAGUUGUCUUGUGUUACCUUAGUUACUUUAAAUAGAUAGCAAACAUGUCUGAAAACAUGUGCCUUUGAAAAACUGUGCAGAUAACAAUGCAGAUAAAAUUAAUCUUUAUUACUUGCACACCUGUAUAGAUAAAUGGAUCAUUACCCCAAACACUGAGAUGUCUUCAGCUGCUCACACAUUUCAGUUACUACACAUCAACAUUUGCAUGUCUUAUUGAAGUCACAUUAUGUUUGAACUGAACUGAUAUUAUUGAUCCACAGAAGCUGCUGUCACAGCAUCAGAAACUGUAGUCUGUAUGACUGCUGGAUCAUUAAUCAGAGUGAUUGUGAUUAUUGUUGAGAUCGCAGUGUUUGCUGCUCCUACUGUGAUUCUUCUUCAGAUCAUCUGUGUGAGAAGAGCUGGAAGGAAAAACUCUCACCACCAAAAUGAAGUAGAGAUGUCUACAAUAUUACAAUGAACUACCUUCUAUAAAUCUAUUAUAAAGAUUACAGCAAGAUGCAUUUCAGUGUUUAUGGAUAUCAUAUUUGCAUACAGCUUUGAAUGUAAUUUUCCAGUACUCCAUAUUGUACAGACUGCUUUAAAUAUGAUAUUAAAUACAGUCAUCAAUAAAGCGACACAGGUACUGUUACGUGUGGUGGUGCUCAAGGAGGGCAAGGAGACGAAGGCGUGAAAAUCAAAAACUCUUUUACUGACGAUACGUAGUUCGGAAUAGAAGAACAUAAAUUAACAUCACAUCACAAUAACAUUAUUAAGACUAGACAAGGGAGAAAACCAAACUGAAUGCUUAUAAAGGGAACCGGAACAAAAGAGCAAUCAACAUAAUCAAACUCAGGUGGGGACAAUCAAACGAUAAUAAACCAACGAGGGCAGGAACUAAACCAAAACAAGGAAAACGAGGACCAGGACAGACUGACAUGUAACAGUAUCUCCCCUUCCCGGUAGGCGCGUCCCGCGCCGUAACAGUUCCAACCGGGAGGGGGGGUGGGCGUCCUGGAUGCCGGAGCAGGACGGAUACCAGGAUACAGAGGAGGCAUCCAGGGCGGAUCAGGAGGUUCCGGCGGCCAUGGCGGGUCAGGGGACUCCGGUUCCGAUACCUCGGCCCCUGCCCCCGCCCCCGCCUCGGUCUCUACGGCCGGAGCCCUACUACCCCCCCCCAAAAUUUUCUUGGGGAAGUUCACGGUGUUGCAGGGCAGACAAUCAGGGGUAGCGGACUCUUGCAGCAUGGAUUCAAGGGGGCGCUCGGACAGCGCGGAUCCUGGGCGGUGCUCUUGCAGCGCGGAUUCUGGGCGGCGCUCUUGCAGCUCAGAGACAGGGAGGCGUCUUCUUGGCGCAGGCACUGGGUGGCGCUCUUGCAGCGCGGGCUCUGGUUUGCGCUCUUGCAGCGCGGAUUCUAGGGGGCGCUUUUGGUGCGCGGAGACAGGGAUGCGAAGGUGAGCUGGACUGGACCAGUGGAGGCGAAGGUGA